GACAUUAUAGCUCAGAGGUAGAGCACUUGUCUAGCAUGCACAAGGCNCUGCCCUGGGUUCAAUUCCCAGUAUUGCCA
rnacentral:tRNA from 1 species